UCCUACGGGAGGCAGCAGUGGGGAAUAUUGCACAAUGGGCGCAAGCCUGAUGCAGCCAUGCCGCGUGUAUGAAGAAGGCCUUCGGGUUGUAAAGUACUUUCAGCGGGGAGGAAGGUGUUGUGGUUAAUAACCACAGCAAUUGACGUUACCCGCAGAAGAAGCACCGGCUAACUCCGUGCCAGCAGCCGCGGUAAUACGGAGGGUGCAAGCGUUAAUCGGAAUUACUGGGCGUAAAGCGCACGCAGGCGGUCUGUUAAGUCAGAUGUGAAAUCCCCGGGCUCAACCUGGGAACUGCAUUUGAAACUGGCAGGCUUGAGUCUCGUAGAGGGGGUAGAAUUCCAGGUGUAGCGGUGAAAUGCGUAGAGAUCUGGAGGAAUACCGGUGGCGAAGGCGGCCCCCUGGACGAAGACUGACGCUCAGGUGCGAAAGCGUGGGGAGCAAACAGGAUUAGAU
rnacentral:rRNA from 1 species